CCUACGGGAGGCUGCAGUGAGGAGUAUUGGGCAAUGGGCGAAAGCCUGACCCAGCAACGCCGCGUGGAGGAUGAAUGCCGUAAGGUUGUAAACUCCUGUUAGAGGGGAAGAACAAUCCCGAUCGACUCGGGACAUGACUGUACCCUCAGAGAAAGCUCCGGCUAACUACGUGCCAGCAGCCGCGGUAAUACGUAGGGGGCUAGCGUUAUCCGGAAUUACUGGGCGUAAAGGGUGCGUAGGCGGCCCUUCAAGUCAGAGGUGAAAGGCUACGGCUCAACCGUAGUAAGCCUUUGAAACUGUAGGGCUUGAGUGCAGGAGAGGAGAGUGGAAUUCCCAGUGUAGCGGUGAAAUGCGUAGAUAUUGGGAGGAACACCAGUUGCGAAGGCGGCUCUCUGGACUGUAACUGACGCUGAGGCACGAAAGCGUGGGGAGCGAACAGGAUUAGAUACCCGUGUAGUC
rnacentral:rRNA from 1 species